ensembl:snRNA U6 U6 spliceosomal RNA
AUAUUUUAAAAAAGCAGCACAUAUACUAAAAUAUUACAGAGGAGAUUAGCAUAGCCCUGUGCAAGGAUGAGAUGCUGACUCAUGAAUCAUUCCAUCGUUUU